AACACUACCCUCCCCAGACCACGGUGUGGGAUAAUACUGGGUGAAGCAAAUGAACAAGGGUAGAUGAAUACGGUGAAGACCUUACUGAAGAGUAUUGGUUGAUCGUUCAUAGACUUUAAGAUGUUCUAGAAUCUUGUAUUUUAAAUUAUUUUGCAAUCUUAUGUAUUAACUCUUGAAUUGUCUAACAAUAUUAUGUAAUUUGCUUUUAUAUAUGAAUAAUAAUAAUAGUUGAAUAUGUUGGAUUCC